GACGAACGCUGGCGGCGUGCUUAACACAUGCAAGUCGAACGGAAAGGCCCCCACCUUGGUGGGGGUGCUCGAGUGGCGAACGGGUGAGUAACACGUGGGUGAUCUGCCCUGUACUUCGGGAUAAGCUUGGGAAACUGGGUCUAAUACCGGAUAGGACCAUGGUUUAGUGUCUCAUGGUGGAAAAAUUAUUGUUUUGGUGCAGGAUGAGCGCGUGGGCGCUCAGCUUGUUGGUGGGGUAAUGGACUACCAGGGCGUCGACGGGUAGCCGGCCCGCGAGGGGGGACGGCCUCAGUGAGACAGAGGGACGGCGCAGACGCAUAAGGGAGGCAGCAGUUGGGUAUAUUGCACAAUGGGCGCAAGACUGAGGCAGCGACGCCGAGUGGGGGAGGACGGCCUUCGGGUAGUAAAAUCCUUUCGUUAGGAACAAAGCCACACCUUUGUUGGGUGUGGUGGCGGUACCUUUGUUAAGAAGCACCGGCUAACUACGUG
rnacentral:rRNA from 1 species